rnacentral:rRNA from 1 species
UACGUAGGUGGCGAGCGUUGUCCGGAUUUACUGGGCGUAAAGGGAGCGUAGGCGGACUUCUAAGUGAGAUGUGAAAUACCCGGGCUCAACUUGGGUGCUGCAUUUCAAACUGGAAGUCUAGAGUGCAGGAGAGGAGAAUGGAAUUCCUAGUGUAGCGGUGAAAUGCGUAGAGAUUAGGAAGAACACCAGUGGCGAAGGCGAUUCUCUGGACUGUAACUGACGCUGAGGCUCGAAAGCGUGGGGAGCAAACAGGAUUAGAUA